rnacentral:ribozyme from 1 species
AAUUAAAUUAAUAAAUUUCAAAAAAAAAAUAAAAAAAAAUUAGUUUUCAUUUUUUUAAAUUUUUUUUUCAUGUAUGUGUUACUUUU